rnacentral:lncRNA from 1 species
GCGGCCGCGGGGGCGAGCACGCUCGGGCGCUGGGGAUCCGGCUCCCCAAGGUCCGCCCUACGGUGGCAGCACGUGUCUACGGAUUCAGAGACCCGGUUUGCCUGGAGAGAUCCAGUUGUGAUUCCUCCUUCGCAGCUCUCCACGCACCAGUCCCUAAAGCGGCUGCCAGUCAGUUGCACGUGGCCGGCUCACUCACCCAUUCAAGAAAGGCUCGGCUGAGGGCCAAGACUCCAAGCUGCCUUCUGGGAGUUCCCUCAGCAGUGGCCCAGCGGAGAAUCGGGACAUUCUUUACCCAACAGCAAUGAGAACGCCUUCCCUGUGGGUUCAGGGCAGACACCUGAGCACCCAGAACACCUGCCAUUGCCCAGUGUUCACUAAAGCCCUCUCCCUGAGUGUCCGUGGAGACUAAGAGGGGAACCUGGGCUUCUGCAUUCAUCUAACAGUAACAAGGCCCUGCCUCCUUUGUAAAAACCAUGUCCUCAAAAGCCUGUUAAAUGUGGGGGUUUAAAUAAAACAGUUUUAUAAUAAGAAACAGAA